UACAGAGGUCCCAAGCGUUGUUCGGAUUCAUUGGGCGUAAAGGGUGCGUAGGCGGCGCGGUAAGUCAGUGGUGAAAUCUCCGGGCUUAACCCGGAAACUGCCAUUGAUACUAUUAGUCUUGAAUACCAUGGAGGUGAGCGGAAUAUGUCAUGUAGCGGUGAAAUGCUUAGAUAUGACAUAGAACACCAAUUGCGAAGGCAGCUCGCUACGCGGUUAUUGACACUGAGGCACGAAAGCGUGGGGAUCAAACAGG
rnacentral:rRNA from 1 species